AACUAAGGCUCUCGGGGGUUAAACCCGCAACACAAUUGCAAUUUUAGAACCUCAACUGGGGCUCAAGGGGGAGGGGAAAAGAUCAAACCGACUUCACCCUUCGCCACCAGGAAGCUUGGCGUGGAGGAACAAUACACUAUUCUUGCAACACAACACAAACCUAGCUGGGAUCAUCCGCCUACUUGGGGGUAAACUCAGAAGUCCGGCCCGGGCUAGAGCGCUUGGUGUCUGGGAUCCACUCAUGACCUUCUGGACUCCUCCAAAGGCCUGGCGUCACUUCUCCAUCUCUGCCCUCUGUAGCACUCUAAGCUCAGGUAGAUCCACUCCACUGCUGCUGCUGUUCUUGAUUGAUCUUGAACUCAGAGAUCUGCAUGGCUCUGUGUCCUGGGAUUAAAGGUUUCAUCCAUGAUGACCAAAGUUCCAGUGCAUGAGCCAUCUCGAGCACACUCAAACCACACGCACAUCACAGGAGGCUGGACAUUUUACCUAGUGGCCGAGAGCACUGUUCAUCGGAAUGAUAGUUUAAGAAGUCACCACCAAGAAUCGCAAAUAGGACAUUACCCUCCCCACCCAAAAGAAAAGUGCAAAAAUCAUCAAAGAAGAAGGGGCGGUGACAUGAAAAGAGGCUGGCCUUGAGCUUGCUGUGUAGCCUUGAGCUUGCUGUGUAGCAGAGACUGACCCUGUCUUUCUGACGUGCUCCCCACCAUGCUAAGGUGAUGGGAUACUGGGAACAGAACCUGAGCCUCUGCGAAUGCUGAGCGAGCCCUCGACCACCCAAGCUGCAGCCCCAGCCUCUGUGCAUCGGGAGACUUUCCCUUUGAUGUCACAUAAAGUUGGUGGCUCAGUCUACUCAGGUUGCUAUAAUA